rnacentral:rRNA from 1 species
UACGAAGGGAGCUAGCGUUGUUCGGAAUCACUGGGCGUAAAGCGCACGUAGGCGGACGUGUCAGUCAGGGGUGAAAUCCCGGAGCUCAACUUCGGAACUGCCUUUGAUACAGCACGUCUUGAGUCCGGAAGAGGUGGGUGGAAUUCCUAGUGUAGAGGUGAAAUUCGUAGAUAUUAGGAAGAACACCAGUGGCGAAGGCGGCCCACUGGUCCGGUACUGACGCUGAGGUGCGAAGGCCAGGGGAGCAAACGGG